rnacentral:lncRNA from 1 species
UUUUUGGCUUCUGUCACUAGAUGGGAAAUAUCUUGGGAGAGGGGAAAGAUUGUACCUAGUGUGAGUUGAGAAGGCUACACUAGAGAAGAGAAAGGAAGAAGGGAAUUCAUCUUGGAACAUCUAUUCCAUUUCUUCGUCUAGUAAUGAAAUUUCUAAGCAAAGCUUCUAAAGAUUUGGAGAAGAUAGAAAACAACCCAAAAGGCUAAAACACUAUUGUACUUGUAUCGCAGAAUUUCCUGGAAAACUGAUGUUCUGUUGGCCUGAAGAAUUUACUUUUCUUCUAAAAGUGAGCAGUUUACUCCUUCUUCUCUGGUAAGAUGUAACUCUUUAUUUUAAAUUUGUUCCAUGUCUGAU